UGGGGAAUUUUGCACAAUGGGGGAAACCCUGAUGCAGCGACGCCGCGUGAUUUAGAAGGCCUUCGGGUUGUAAAAAUCUUUUCUAUGGGAAGAAAAUGACAGUACCAUAGGAAUAAGGACCGGCUAAUUACGUGCCAGCAGCCGCGGUAAUACGUAAGGUCCGAGCGUUGUCCGGAAUCAUUGGGCGUAAAGGGUACGUAGGCGGGUAAGCAAGUUAGAAGUCAAAUCCUAUAGCUCAACUAUAGUAAGCUUUUAAAACUGCUCAUCUUGAGGUAUGGAAGGGAAAGUGGAAUUCCUAGUGUAGCGGUGAAAUGCGCAGAUAUUAGGAGGAAUACCGGUGGCGAAGGCGACUUUCUGGCCAUAACCUGACGCUGAGGUACGAAAGCGUGGGUAGCAAACAGG
rnacentral:rRNA from 1 species